GAUGAACGCUGGCGGCGUGCCUAAUACAUGCAAGUCGAGCGAACAGACGAGGAGCUUGCUCCUCUGACGUUAGCGGCGGACGGGUGAGUAACACGUGGAUAACCUACCUAUAAGACUGGGAUAACUUCGGGAAACCGGAGCUAAUACCGGAUAAUAUAUUGAACCGCAUGGUUCAAUAGUGAAAGACGGUUUUGCUGUCACUUAUAGAUGGAUCCGCGCCGCAUUAGCUAGUUGGUAAGGUAACGGCUUACCAAGGCGACGAUGCGUAGCCGACCUGAGAGGGUGAUCGGCCACACUGGAACUGAGACACGGUCCAGACUCCUACGGGAGGCAGCGGUAGGGAAUCUUCCGCAAUGGGCGAAAGCCUGACGGAGCAACGCCGCGUGAGUGAUGAAGGUCUUCGGAUCGUAAAACUCUGUUAUUAGGGAAGAACAAAUGUGUAAGUAACUAUGCACGUCUUGACGGUACCUAAUCAGAAAGCCACGGCUAACUACGUG
rnacentral:rRNA from 1 species